AGGUAAUGCCUGCUGCACCUUUAUCACCGUAGGCACUCGGUUGUAUUGUGGGUUCGUAAGGGACCUUAGACGUGAAUCGUCGAUGAUGCAGCGUGAGGUGGGGUUGGAUGCCCU
rfam:Paenibacillaceae bacterium GAS479 genome assembly, chromosome: I